GGGUCCGGACACACUGAGGAUUGACAGAUAUACGCUCAUUGCUGCGUGCUUCGGCGCGUGCUUUGAGCUGAAAGAUGCUAGUUCUUUCAUGAUUAUGUGAUAGGUGGUGCAUGGCCGUUCUUAGUUCGUGGAGUGGUCUGUCUGCUUAAUUGCGUAUCAAUAAUAGAGACCUAGUAUACGCGUGGAUUUCGCGUGGUAGUGACCCCCUGUUUAACGACAGGCGUGUGUCGCACACGCGUACCUACGCACUGGUCUCAGAUAGCAACGAACGUGACCGUAUUCUAUUGUUGCAGUGAAAUGUGCCUUCUGGGUACGACCCACUGCUUAGUAUAUGUACGUGCUUCGGCGCGAACAAUAUACAUUAAACUAUAGAGACCGCUGUUUCUUCUUUAAACCAGAGGAAGGAUACGGCAAUAACAGGUCUGUGAUGCCCUCAGAUGUUCCGGGCUGCACACGUGCUACAAUGAUCAUUGCACUGUGCAUCUAACCCAAUGUGCGUGGACGCCGCAUGCAUGUGCCUUCGGGUACACGCAUUGCUGUUGCGACCACGCCGAACCUACUUCGAAAGUAAAAUUUCUCAGUGGGU
rnacentral:rRNA from 1 species